rnacentral:rRNA from 1 species
GAUGAACGCUGGCGGCGUGCCUAAUACAUGCAAGUCGAGCGAACAGAUGAGGAGCUUGCUCCUCUGACGUUAGCGGCGGACGGGUGAGUAACACGUGGAUAACCUACCUAUAAGACUGGGAUAACUUCGGGAAACCGGAGCUAAUACCGGAUAAUAUAUUGAACCGCAUGGUUCAAUAGUGAAAGACGGUUUUGCUGUCACUUAUAGAUGGAUCCGCGCCGCAUUAGCUAGUUGGUAAGGUAACGGCUUGCCAAGGCAACGAUGCGUAGCCGACCUGAGAGGGUGAUCGGCCACACUGGAACUGAGGCACGGUCCAGACUCCUACGGGAGGCAGCAGUAGGGAAUCUUCCGCAAUGGGCGAAAGCUUGACGGAGCAACGCCGCGUGAGUGAUGAAGGUCUUCGGAUCGUAAAACUCUGUUAUUAGGGAAGAACAAAUGUGUAAGUAACUAUGCACGUCUUGACGGUACCUAAUCAGAAAGCCACGGCUAACUACGUG